CAUUCUUGUGUUUCUCUGUUCUUCAUUUUUUGUUCUUUCUUUUUCCUCUUUCGUUGUUCUUGAAUUGGCAGCACUAUCUCACACCAACAACCCUCCUCUCACCGAAACCAUAGAUAUCUCUUUCUAAGAAGAAAUCAAACUCUUACUAAAGUUUCAGUUUCAAUUGUGGUGAACAGGUUCUUUUUUGGAAGCAACGAGAGUAUUAGAGGUGGCAAGGAAUCUAUGAUUCUCGUUUGUCAGAAUAUAUAGUUUUUUUUUGUUAUAUAGUAGUUUAGUUUUUUUGUUGUAUAGGAGGAAUCAAGAUGUACUUGAUCCUUUUAAGUAUAGAUGUAAUUCAGAACCUUAGUUUGUUUUGAACCCCAAAUGUAUGUCUUUGGGGUUAGGCUUGUAAAUAAGAAUUUUGCUAAAUGUUUAACUGUGUAAUAUUUACACGAAUACCUUAAGUUUCAA